UUGAGCGGAUGACAAAAUGGGGUGUUUUGACAAAAUGAAUUUUAUUUAAAAAAAAUCUACACAUUUUUGAGGCAUGCCAUAGAACAAGUUUUUUACUGAGAAUGUCGUUCUGCGUCAAAAAGGUGAAAAUGCUCAUGUCUAAUUGCCUCCGUGAAUUGUGUAGAACCAAUUAAGUCUACCUAAAUAUUCACUAGUUUUAU